rnacentral:ncRNA from 1 species
GAAAAAUCUAUGUUGAAAAUUUAACGAAUAAAUAAAUUUUUUAUGGUUUAAAAAAAUUUAUUUAAGUUUAUUUUACAUAUAAAUUUUAGUGUUAAUUAUUAAUUAUUUAAAUAAUAUUUAAUAUUUUUGUAGUAAUUAAUUUUAAAAAUUUAAGAAAUUAAGAUUUAGUAAUAUUAAAAUUUAAUAACUAAUUUUGUGCCAGCAGUUGCGGUUAUACAAAAGUUAAUUUAAAUUUUUUUUUAGUUAUUAAUAAAUAAAUUAUAAAAAUAAUUUAAAUUUUAAAUUUUAAAGUGAAAUUUUAAUUUAAUAAAAAAUUAUUUAAUAUUUAUGAUUUAAUAAAUUUUAUAAAAAACUAGGAUUAGAUACCCUAUUAUUAAAAUUUAAAUUAAUAAUACUUAAAUAGUAUAUAAUUAUUUAUUGAAACUUAAAUAAUUUGGCGGUAUUUUAGUUCAUUUAGAGGAAUCUGUUUAAUAAUUGAUAAUCCACGAAUAAAUUUACUUAAUUUAUUAUUUUGUAUAUCGUUGUUAAAAAAAUAUUUUUUAAUAAUAUUAAUAUUUAAAAAUUUUUAACAUAAAUUAAAUCAGAUCAAGAUGCAGAUUAUAGUUAAGAAUAUAAUGGAUUACAAUAAAUUUAUUUAAUUGAAUUUUAAUGUGAAAAAAUUAAAUGAAAUUGGAUUUAAAUGUAAUUUUAUUUAAAUUUUUAAAAUGAUUAAAUAUUAAAAUAUGUACAUAUUGCCCGUCGCUUUCAUUUAUAAAUUGAAAUAAGUCGUAACAAAGUAGAAGUACUGGAAAGUGUUUCUAGAAAGAU